AAGCCAGUGGAGCUUUGAAAGCUUGCAACAAGCAUAUUGUGCAUUUCGGUUGGCUAAUAAAGGCUUUACCACACUGAAUCCACUGAUCAACAGUGACUACUUGUCCUGGAUAAUGGUUGCUUUGAAGCUAGAGUACCAGCCCUGAGACAGGAUCCUUAGAGUAAAAGAGCAAGGCUGGGACAUAAUGACAGACUACAUGCUUCCAAUUGCCUUCUCAUGGGUUCGCCAGAGGAAAAGAAGGAACCAGAAAUGUUGGCCAUGCUUUGCUCCAGUUAUGCCUGGGAACCAAGCCAGCUAAUUCCCAAUGUCGGACAUGGAAGGAAAGGCAGCAUAGCCUGACUCGUAGGAACACUAAGAUUCAAAGAAAGCCAGAAGAGGACACAGCUCCACCCCCCACCCCAUAUAUUUACGUUGGGAGAGACCUUGCUUUAUGUAUAUUGUUCUGUCUGGUUGUUUGCUUCCAGGAGACUUCCCAGCUAGGGAUCAUAUUUUGAGUUAUUUUUGUUUCACAAUGAUUGACUGAUUGCUUGACUUGAUAUAUAGUCGGCCCUCCAGAUCCAUGGAGAUGAUGGACAGCUGGUAAAUCCUUUUUUUUUUGGGGGGGGGGGACCAAAAAAUAAACCUUGAUUUUGCCAUUUUAUAUAAGAUACACCAUUUUACUACACCAUUGUAUUUAAUGGGACUUCAGCAUCCAUGGAUUUUGGCAUCCAAACCCUAGCAGAUACUAAGAACCCACUGUAUUUGGUUUAUAUGGCACAUUUCUUUAAAAACUGGAUUUGAGAAGGCUUGCAACAAGUUUUAAAAUGAGGUACAAAUAAAAG